rnacentral:lncRNA from 10 species
GACAUGACUUGGCUGGCAGGACAAAGCAUCCUGAGGAGAAAAGUAGCUUGCCCAGGACUUCACAGGAAACUUACAGGAGCCCUAAGUGGGCCACACUGCUCAGAGGGAGGAGGACUAUGUGGAGAGCAGGGAUCCCACAGCCACACCAAGGCAACUGCAGAGGCACUCUAUGUGCUGGAACAGCUGAACCACAAGAGGAGUUCCCUGAAGCUCUUGCCUCUGGCCAAAACUGCUCAAAUGACAGGGGUUGGGGAGUUAGUCUGAGGAUGAGACUGAU